AAAAUCCGUCGACUUUANAAAUCGUGAGGGU
rnacentral:tRNA from 1 species